GAUGAACGCUGGCGGCGUGCUUAACACAUGCAAGUCGAACGAAGCACUUAAAUGGAUUUCUUCGGAUUGAAGUUUUUGUGACUGAGUGGCGGACGGGUGAGUAACGCGUGGGUAACCUGCCUCAUACAGGGGGAUAACAGUUCGAAAGAGGUGCUAAUACCGAAUGACGUAUCCAUUCCGCAUGGAGAGGAUACCAAAGGCCGGGCAACCGGUCACUGAAGGAUGGGGCCUGCGUCUGAUUAGCUAGUUGGUGGGGUAACGGCUCACCAAGGCGACGAUCAGUAGCCGGUCUGAGAGGAUGAACGGCCACAUUGGGACUGAGACACGGGCCCAA
rnacentral:rRNA from 1 species